AUUGAACGCUGGCGGCAUGCCUUACACAUGCAAGUCGAACGGUAACAGGUCUUCGGAUGCUGACGAGUGGCGAACGGGUGAGUAAUACAUCGGAACGUGCCUAGUAGUGGGGGAUAACUACUCGAAAGGGUGGCUAAUACCGCAUGAGAUCUACGGAUGAAAGCAGGGGAUCGCAAGACCUUGUGCUACUAGAGCGGCCGAUGGCAGAUUAGGUAGUUGGUGGGAUAAAAGCUUACCAAGCCGACGAUCUGUAGCUGGUCUGAGAGGACGAUCAGCCACACUGGGACUGAGACACGGCCCAGACUCCUACGGGAGGCAGCAGUGGGGAAUUUUGGACAAUGGGCGAAAGCCUGAUCCAGCAAUGCCGCGUGCAGGAUGAAGGCCUUCGGGUUGUAAACUGCUUUUGUACGGAACGAAAAGCCCCGGGUUAAUACCCUGGGGUCAUGACGGUACCCAAAGAAUAAGCACCGGCUAACUUCGUGCCAGCCGCCGCGGUAA
rnacentral:rRNA from 1 species